UAGAUACCCUGGUAGUCCACGCCGUAAACGAUGGAUACUAGCUGUUCGGCGCAAGUUGAGUGGCUAAGCGAAAGUGAUAAGUAUCCCACCUGGGGAGUACGCACGCAAGUGUGAAACUCAAAGGAAUUGACGGGGGCCCGCACAAGCGGUGGAGCAUGUGGUUUAAUUCGAUGAUACGCGAGGAACCUUACCAGGGCUUAAAUGUAGAUUGACAGGUCUGGAAACAGACAUUUCUUCGGACAAUUUACAA
rnacentral:rRNA from 1 species